UAUUUGUUGAUCUGCUUAUUAGCUUGAUGUAGUGUCUACUUUCAUUUUUCUAUUUCUCUUUUUCUGCUUUUCACUCUUUUUGAGUAUAGGUUGUCAAAAGUCUUGUAUCUACAUUAAAUAUAAAUUUAUUACAAGCGAAGGUGAACAAAUGUUCUAGGAUUAAAACGAACCAAGUAUUACGAAACUUAAAAACUUCUAUUGUUCCAAAUCUAAAGUGAAAAUUAUGUUCAUAUCUAGUUGAGCAUUGAAAGUGAACAAUAACAAUACAACAACAAUGGAUUCCAAAUAAUAUCGAUGAAACAAAAUGAGAAAGAAGUAUACAUAAACGAACAAAGUAAAGGAGACUACAAUCUCCCACUGUGUGUGUUUUAUUUUAUCAUUCUAAUCCAAUAUGCAAAGGUAAUGGAAGGUAUAGAUAUUAGGUAAAGCAUCAUUUGAGCACUUGAAAAGUUAGGUUGGGCCGACGUCUCCCAGUGGACCGGCCCAUUUAUUUAAGUGUUGGCUAGUUAUGAAAGGCCUCAUCUGCUACAUCAACCCACCCUAUCAUAAAUUAAAAAAUACAAUUUAUGAAGGGUAAUUAUAAUUAAACAAAAGUGCAAAUAUACCAAAAUAAUAAUCAAGUAUAUAGCCAUUAUAGUCGUGCUUGUCGUAUUUAUUGUAUCAAAUAAAAUAAAAACACUCUACGUUUUUCCAAAAAAGAAAAAAUACAUACACAGGGAAGAUGAGCCAAUGUUUAAGUUAGUUGCUAAACACUCCCCUAAAUUUCAACAUAAUAGAUGAAAUAGUCCGUAUUAUUGGUCUAUUGAUACCCUUGAACCGUUAAAUAGAUAUGUUACUGAUAUCAUAUAUCCUCUAAAGAAAACUAAGGUUUGGCUUGGUAUCUUUCAUUUAGUUGAAGAGGUGAUCGGACUUACAGUGAUGCCACUCAAACCCUUCAUGAUGCCAAGGCCAAAACUAAGUUUCUUUUACAUCCACCGACUAUUUCCAUUCAUCAGUUUUCUUUUUACCAGUUUACAUCAGACAUGUAUGAUUCAAAUAGUUAUAAAAAAGACAAUGAAAUAAUUAUAGUAUUUAACCUUCUCAUCUAAUUAAAUUCAUAUCAUUGGCUUUAUUAAUGUAGCUUAAUUAACCUAUACUAUCAAUGAAAAGUCUACAGGAGUUUCGUAUUUGGGUUACCAUAUUAUCGGGCACAAAAUCAAGGAAAUGAAUAAUUAACAUAAUUAGUGAAAGACAUAAGAUUUAGAACUUACAACUCUUACACAUGAAUUACAC
rnacentral:lncRNA from 1 species